AUCCGGUCGGCCGCGCGUUGUAAACUACCUUUUGUUCCGCUGCUUUUUCGUUCCUAUUCGGUCUCUCCGAGAGAGCUUGAUCUCACCGGGUGAACAAGAGCGUUGGAGACUUGAGAAUCCCCGCAGGCGGUUGAAAGGUCAAAACAAAUAUAUGUCUCAGGAUGAUUCUGAAUUACUUUGUGGGUAGGGGACCAGGAGGCCCAGAGCUUCUAUUCUUCUGUAUUGGAGCAAUGAAUGAAGAGGUGCUUUUGAGAAAAGCCGGGCUAAAUCAACAUACUGUAAGUAUGUUUAUCCUGCUUAUAGAGAGAUGAGAUCAAUGUUUUGCUCAAUGACUGCUCAGUCUUUUAUGGAUAGAAAAACUAUUUUUCACUUUUAAUUAAAAAAGAGAAAACAUAAUUUGCUUUUACUGUAUCUCAUAAAAUCAUCUCUUAUAUCUUUCAGGACAAUCUGACUUUGAAAUCCAAAGAGAUUAUUUUCUAGUUUGGGGUAGAACCGCUGAUAACAUAAUACUAAUCAAAACUAAAUACAUAAUCAUUGGUGAUAGUUUUCUUUUUUACAGAAUUACUACUCCCUAAUUACAGCUCAGUUAUUGAGUUUUCCUCAGGUUCUUCCUCUUUCAAGAGAAGACUCAUCAUAAACAUAAUUAACAUUCAACUUAACAGAAUUUAUCUGAAUGGUGUGAAAAAAAUAGUAUAUAAUAUUUUAAUUUUCUUACAUAUUUUAAUUUGCCUAUUCUUCAUAGCCAAGAAAAGAAAUUAUUCUGUCAAAGUUUGAAAAGAGUUGCUUAAUGGAAGUUACACAUUUCCAUUCAAUGUGUAGGGCAAAUUGAUUGGAAAAAUGGAAGCUAAUGGUAAAGUAAAAUAAUUGAAUUUAAGUUUUAACUAUAUCUUCUGUAAAAGAAAUCAAAGCCAUUUUUGUCUUUCUAUAGUUUUUACUUUUCUGAACUUCUAUCUUUUUUCCUAUUCUCUCCCUUAUCUAUUUCUUUAUUAGUUUUUAUGUUUUAUUAAAAAAAAUGUAAUAAAGCCACAUUAAAAG